AAGAUUCUAUAAAGAAGAGAAUGAUGUAAGUGACCCGGGGGCAAUGGGGGGAGCUUAAAUUUGAAACUAGAAAAAAUUUUGAACAAAAUAAUCAUAAUUGUUAGCUGAUGAAAAACUAGAAAAUAUUUUCUGAGUAAAUUCUUGAUUUCAGAAAUUAACUAUAAUUUAUAUUGCUCUUAAUAUCUUACCCUUGAAUAUAAAUGAUUAAUGCCCUUUAAAAUGUCCUUUUUUCUAGCUAACCUGAUGUACAUAUGACAUUAAUCCAAUAGACUUAGGAAUAAGAUACAGGGGGUUUUCCUGAAUGAUUCGAGUAUAUCCCCAUUCAUAUUAAGAAAACAAAGUAUUGGCCAAGCGUGGUGGCUCACGCCUGUAAUCCCGGCACUUUGGAAGGCCGAGGCCAGUGGAUCACCUGAGAUGGACUCAACGACUCUCUUACCGUCCAGCUCUCAAGUCCCUUCUCUUGUGAAAAUGGAAAAGUUGAACUACAGUUGAGAUAUUAUUCCCAGGUGUUCUUUGGAACACAGGGGAUUUCUCCAAAAGGCACAGAACAAAUUGCCUCCAAACAGCCAAGAUUCCAGCAGAAGCUGGAGUAGCAGACUACUUGGAUCUUCAAAGUACCUGGCCCUGAGUCAGUUAAGGAAGAUCUUUUCUUCUCUUUUGUACAAUCCUAUGAUGAGAGCUGCAAAGUGAACUGACUAAGAGCUUCUGCCUUGAUCAUUGACCUCCCAAUCCUAAUAAUAUGUUCACUGGCCAAACUUCCUAAUCGAUUUGUCUUUUGGAUAUAACG
ensembl:lncRNA novel transcript